UUAUUUAAUUUUUUUUUCUUAUUUAAUUUUUUUUUUCGUUUUUCGUUUUUUUUUGUUUUCCGUUUUUCUUUUUUUCGUUUUUUUUUUCUUUUCUUUUUUUUUUCUUUUCAUUUUCUUUUGUUUUUUUUGUUUUUUGUUUUUAGUUUGCAUAACACGUUGGCCUCGCCUAGCGAGCAUGACAACUCAUGAACAAACCUUUGCUCCUUCAAGAUUAACGUUUUGACUGACGAAUAGACCCCUAUUGGAAGUAACUCAAGUCUUUCCCUUGUGUUGACUGAUCAUCUAAAUAGAACCCACAAAGUGUCCUGGAUGAUGUUCAAGCUUCUUGGAGCUAAU
rnacentral:lncRNA from 1 species